rnacentral:rRNA from 1 species
GACGAACGCUGGCGGCGUGCUUAACACAUGCAAGUCGAACGGUGAAGCGCCUUCCUUUUUGGUGGGUGUGGAUGAGUGGCGAACGGGUGAGUAACACGUUAGUAACCUGCCCCCUUCUUCUGGAUAACCGCAUGAAAGUGUGGCUAAUACGGGAUAUUCUGGGUCUGUCGCAUGAUGGGUCUGGGAAAGCUAUUGUUUCGGUGGGGGAUGGGAUCGCGGCCUAUCAGCUUGUUGGUGGGGUGAUGGCCUACCAAGGCGGUGAGGGGUAGCCGGCCUGAGAGGGUGGACGGUAACAGUGGGGCGGAGACACGGCGCAGACUCCUACGGGCGGCAGUGGCGGGGAAUAUUGAACAAUGGGAGGAAGGCUGAUGCAGCGACGCGGCGGGAGGGAUGGAGGCCGUCGGGUUGUGAACCUCUGUCGGGAGAGAAGCAGGGCUGCCUCGUUUGUGGGUGGGUUGACGGUAGCUGGAUAAGAAGCGCCGGCUAACUACGUG